rnacentral:tRNA from 1 species
AUAAGUUUAAGUUAGUUUAGACUGUGUGUUUUCAAAACACCUAGCAACCCUUCAUGGUUAUCUUAUG